GACGAACGCUGGCGGCGUGCUUAACACAUGCAAGUCGAACGGUGAAAGCGGAGCUUGCUCCGCUGGAUCAGUGGCGAACGGGUGAGUAACACGUGGGCAACCUGCCCCUCACUUCGGGAUAACUCCGGGAAACCGGGGCUAAUACCGGAUAUGACCUCCUUGGGCAUCCUUGGAGGUGGAAAGUUUUUCGGUGAGGGAUGGGCCCGCGGCCUAUCAGCUUGUUGGUGAGGUAGUGGCUCACCAAGGCGACGACGGGUAGCCGGCCUGAGGGGGCGACCGGCCACACUGGGACUGAGACACGGCCCAGACUCCUACGGGAGGCAGCAGGGGGGAAUAUUGCGCAAUGGGCGAAAGCCUGACGCAGCAACGCCGCGUGCGGGAUGACGGCCUUCGGGUUGUAAACCGCUUUCAGCAGGGAAGAAGCCGCAAGGUGACGGUACCUGCAGAAGAAGCACCGGCUAACUACGUGCCAGCAGCCGCCGUAA
rnacentral:rRNA from 1 species